GAUCAUGGCUCAGGAUGAACGCUAGCUACAGGCUUAACACAUGCAAGUCGAGGGGCAUCAGGAAGAAAGCUUGCUUUCUUUGCUGGCGACCGGCGCACGGGUGAGUAACACGUAUCCAACCUACCCUUUACUCGGGGAUAGCCUUUCGAAAGAAAGAUUAAUACCCGAUGGCAUAAUGAUUCCGCAUGGUUUCAUUAUUAAAGGAUUCCGGUUAAAGGAUGGGGAUGCGUUCCAUUAGGUUGUUGGGUGAGGUAACGG
rnacentral:rRNA from 1 species